UUGCUUUCCUAAGUACUAGUGCCGCAGGAGUUGGGUUUGAGUCUGUAUAUUCCUCCUGCUGCCCAAGUGCUUAUCAAAGCGA
rfam:Drosophila busckii chromosome 3R sequence.